AAUCCUCGUUGUUCUCCACCUGGUGACUCCUGUAACCUGUUGCUGAUCAGAACACUGGAUCAUUACACUCAGACCGUCGUGGUUUAGUUCUUGUUGUGUUCAUCGUGUUUAAGAACUCGCCAUGAAGCCUUUUUGAUAAAAUUCCUGCUUGGAUAAACCUCUCCACUGGAAUCAGACUGACACAGCUGGUGUGUGAAUGUGUAUCCAUCGGACGGGGAAUAUUCUGGAAGCAGGAUGCCAAAUCUGGAGCUGUCAAGAGGAAGACGGAAGAGGCUUAGGAUCCAGAGAUCAAAGGUGCCAUAUCAUAGAGGAGGGUAAUAACCCAGAAAUAACCUCGUUAUGGAGACAGCGCUGCGGUCUGGGCACAAUGAACUCAGAGCUGAAGAAUUAGUGACCUGGAAAGUGGCAGUGAGGGUUAAUGGCAUUAGCUACAUCACACACAGAGUGAGAGUCGGAGGAGGAGGAGGGAGAGCAGACAGCAGAAAUCAUGGCUGCAAUCACCAAAGGAAGCUGCCUGAGAAUUCACAGGAAAAUAAAAGAUCCUCUGAUGGCAGAUUGUUCUUUUUUUUACUCAUCAUGGUGCCUUUUGAUAUGGAGAGCGUGCCACUGUUGGGAGGAUUCAUCCAUCAGCGUUAUUAUCAUUGCUGUUUGAAACGGAUGCUGCCUCUUUUAUUGUUCGGAGUCUAA